AUACCAGAAAAGAAAACGAAGCGACUAAAUCACGCGAAACUGACGCACAUCAGACUGGAAAACACAAAGUCUACAGCAUAGAUGUUUUAUCCUGUGCCUGAAGUGCUGAGAAGUGGUUUUGCUAAUGACAGGCACACAAAGGCAAGGCAAGUUUGUUUAUAUGGGAAAGCCACUGUGAUCUGAAUACUUCGGAGAAGAGGUGAACCAGUUCAGAAGCUCUGCAAAGGGAUUUCUACUGUACUCGGGCCUCCUUUAGUCGGGCAGAUAGGUUACCAAAAAGGAGAAAUCCAGCACCUCCACACCUCUCCCUGGGACGGGACGUCCUACGAAGAUCUGUGUGAGGGUAAAGUGUAAAAAUCUCAAACAAGUGACUUAAAAAGAGCUUCUCUGAUUAAGAUGUCAGACACACGAUAACGCCAGAAAAACACUGGCAAGAACAGUGCUCAUGGGAGGUGAUCGCAGAGAAAACCACUGAUUCGCAGAAUAAAAACAUCGCUGCCCUUCUCAGGUUUGCAGAAAAACUUUCCAGGAUGAUCUGACGCUCUGACGAAAGAUGAUCUUAGGACAGAUGAGAUGUCAGAGAACAUUUAAUUGAUCAAAUGCAGUAAGUGAAUAUACAG
rnacentral:lncRNA from 1 species